rnacentral:SRP_RNA from 1 species
GCCGAGCUCAGUUGCGAGAGCUUGUAACCUGAGUGGGGGCAUUAAAGUGAUGUGGCCUAUGCGAAAGCUGGGCCUCACGGUCCAUAAGGUGGCAGGCACCGCGUGAGGCUGGGUCUCGCAGCCUACUCCAGUGAACCAUCAUUUUU